AUACUUACCUGUCAAGGGAGAUACCAUGAUCUCGAACGUGGGUUUCCCAGGAUGAGGCUCACCCGUUGCACUCCCGAUGUGCUGACCCUCUGCGAUUUCCCCACAUGAGGGAAACUCGACUGCGUCGGAUGUGGUAAUGGGGGACUGCGUUCNNN
rnacentral:snRNA from 1 species